CUCUCUACUUUCUCUCUCUAAAAUUCUUCGAUCUUUUGCAUGUUUUCACAUAUAUCCAGAUGCUACAUUAACUAAUAACAUAACGAAAAAGACUCAUGACUGCUAGACUUUUAUUUUGACGAGGUACAACCAAGAACAUUUAUACUUUAUUGGCUGCAAGGAUCACUCAUUCAGUAUUUAACACAUAUCAAGUAAUGUAACAUUUUCAUUGUAAAAGUACUUUAGGUCAGCAUCAUAGAG
rnacentral:lncRNA from 1 species